rnacentral:rRNA from 1 species
AUUGAACGCUGGCGGCAGGCCUAACACAUGCAAGUCGAACGAGUGGCGGACGGGUGAGUAAUGUCUGGGAAACUUCCUGAUGGAGGGGGAUAACUACUGGAAACGGUCGCUAAUACCGCAUACCAUCAGAUGUGCCCAGAUGGGAUUAGCUUGUGGGUGGGGUAACGGCUCACAAAGGCGACGAUCCCUAGCUGGUCUGAGAGGAUGACCGUCAAAACUGGAACUGAGACACGGUCAAGACCCCUACGGGAGGAGGCGGUGGGGAAUAUUGCACAAUGGGCACAAGCCUGCUGAAGCCAGGCCGCGUGUAUGAGGAAGGCCUUCGGGUGGUAAAGUACUUUCAGCGGGGAGGCGUUACCCGCAGAAGAAGCACCGGCUAACUCCGUGCCAGCAGCCGCGGUAAUAC